rnacentral:misc_RNA from 1 species
AUUAGUUCACUCAUCUCCCUCGCAUCUUCCCUCUCCUCUCUCUUUGUUUUUCCUCUGUAGAUGAACAGUCAUAGACUAUUGGGUGAAGAAAUUCAAAUUUCUUAGCUAAGCUAAAAUUGAUUGAGUAAUGAUGUAGAGAGAGAGUGGGGAAGAAAGGGCGUAGUAUUUUUCUUGAGUACAGAAUGAUAACUUCUCUUGUGGGUUGGGUUUUGUUUUGGCUUUGAAAGAAAGCUUUGCUUGUUGGGUUUUGUUUGUUUGUGUUUCUUCCUUCGUUCAUCUUUUUUUCUUGCUUUCUUUUGGAUGGGUGCAGAGGGAGGAGAAGCUGUAGUAGAAGUAUUGAAAAAGGAGAAAGAUAGGAGAGACAAGAGAAGAGAGAGCAGUGGUGGUACAAUUGCAUACAGUAGUAAUACACAAGAAUUCUCCUUGCAAGUGAAAAAAAUCUUGUACCAUAACAAAAUAAAAACACACACACUCAUACACUUGUUGAGCUUCUAAAAAGAUCUCUCACUAAAAUCCACGAGCUAGCUAGCGCACAAACAAAGAAUAAAAAAGAAGAAGAGGAUUAGAUCUGUAAACAAAGAUCUGGUUUUUCUUCUAGAGUUCUUUUCUUUCUUUCUUUAGAGUCAUGAAGAGACUUGGCAGCUCUGAUUCCCUUGGUGCUUUGAUGUCCAUCUGCCCAACCACAGACGAGCACAGUCCGAGAAACAGCAACCAUGUUUAUGGGAGAGAAUUUCAUUCCAUGUCCAUGUUGGAGAGCUUAGAUGAGGAAGCUUGUGUAGAGGAAUCAGGCCAUGGAGCAGAGAAGAAACGGCGAUUAAGUGUAGAUCA